CCAAUAGCGUAUAUUAAAGUUGUUGCAGUUAAAAAGCUCGUAGUUGAAUUUCGGGAUCAGUACGCUGGUCGUGCCUUCGGUAUGUACUGGUGUUACUGGUUCCUACCUUCUGACGAACCGUCAUGUCAUUAAUUUGGUGUGGCGGGGAAUCAGGACUGUUACUUUGAAAAAAUUAGAGUGUUUAAAGCAGGCUCGCGCUUGAAUACAUUAGCAUGGAAUAAUGAAAUAGGACGUUCGAUCCUAUUUUGUUGGUUCCUAGGAUUGACGUAAUGAUUAAUAGGGAUAGUUGGGGGCAUUAGUAUUCAAUUGUCAGAGGUGAAAUUCUUGGAUUUAUUGAAGACUAACUACUGCGAAAGCAUUUGCCAAGGAUGUUUUCAUUAAUCAAGAACGAAAGUUAGGGGAUCGAAGACGAUCAGAUACCGUCGUAGUCUUAACCAUAAACUAUGCCGACUAGGGAUCGGAUGAUGUUAAUUUUUUAAUGACUCAUUCGGCGCCUUACG
rnacentral:rRNA from 1 species